AGAGUUGGCUCAGUGGUUGCGGAUACUGAAGCGGCGUUAAACCUGCUGCGGUAUCUGAGGAAAGUCCGGGCACCCCAAAUGCCAAACUUGCUGGGUAACGCCCAGUGCGGGCGACCGUGAGGAAAGUGCCACAGAAACAUACCGCCGAUGGAUAGCCUCGCGCUAUCACAGGUAAGGGUGCAAGGGUGCGGUAAGAGCGCACCGGCAGCAUCGAGAGGUGCUGGCCAGGUAAACCCCGGUUGGGUGCAAGGCCGAAGGAGUGGAUGGGUUGGCGUUUUUCCUCACUCCGCUGGAAUGUGCCGCUAGAGGCGUCUGGUAACAGGCGUCCCAGAUAGAUAACCACCCUGCGGAGCUUGCUCUGUAGGAACAGAACCCGGCUUAGGUCCAGCUCUAUUU
rnacentral:RNase_P_RNA from 1 species